rnacentral:rRNA from 1 species
CAGCCGCCGCGGGAAUACGGAGGGUGCAAGCGUUAAUCGGAAUUACUGGGCGUAAAGCGCACGCAGGCGGUCUGACAAGUCAGAUGUGAAAUCCCCGGGCUUAACCUGGGAACUGCAUUUGAAACUGUCAGGCUGGAGUCUUGUAGAGGGGGGUGGAAUUCCAGGUGUAGCGGUGAAAUGCGUAGAGAUCUGGAGGAAUACCGGUGGCGAAGGCGGCCCCCUGGACAAAGAUUGACGCUCAGGUGCGAAAGCGUGGGGAGCAAACAGGAUUAGAUACCCGCGUAGUCCCUGUCUCUUAUAA